rnacentral:rRNA from 1 species
UACGUAGGGCGCAAGCGUUAUCCGGAAUUAUUGGGCGUAAAGAGCUCGUAGGCGGUUUGUCGCGUCUGCCGUGAAAGUCCGGGGCUCAACUCCGGAUCUGCGGUGGGUACGGGCAGACUAGAGUGAUGUAGGGGGAGACUGGAAUUCCUGGUGUAGCGGUGAAAUGCGCAGAUAUCAGGAGGAACACCGAUGGCGAAGGCAGGUCUCUGGGCCUGUACUGACGCUGAGGAGCGAAAGCGUGGGGAGCGAACAGG